GGUAGUGUGGCCCAGCGGUCUAAAGCGCUGGAUUAAGACUCCAGUCUCUACGGAGGCGUGGGUUCAUAUCCCACCACUGCCA